AUGCUCCUCUUCCACUGGGGGACAUUCUCUGUGGUAGUUGUGGACUGGACCCUACUACUGGCAGGGCUCUACGCUGACCUCUCUUUUACAAGGCGCACUGUAGAGAUGUACUACUGUGGUGGUGGAGGACUGGUGGUGGUGGUGGAGGACUGGUGGUGGUGGUGGAGGACUGGUGGUGGUGGGGACUGGUGGUGGUGGUGGAGGACUGGUGGUGGUGGUGGAGGACUGGUGGUGGUGGUGGAGGACUGGUGGUGGUGGAGGACUGGUGGUGGUGGAGGACUGGUGGAGGUGGAGGACUGGUGGAGGGGGAGGACUGGUGGAGGGGGAGGACUGGUGGAGGGGGUGGACUGGUGGAGGGGGUGGAGGACUGGUGGAGGGGGUGGAGGACUGGUGGAGGGGGUGGAGGACUGGUGGAGGGGGUGGAGGACUGGUGGAGGGGGUGGAGGACUGGUGGAGGGGGUGGAGGACUGGUGGUGGUGGUGGAGGACUGGUGGUGGUGGUGGAGGACUGGUGGUGGUGGUGGAGGACUGGUGGUGGUGGUGGAGGACUGGUGGUGGUGGUGGAGGACUGGUGGUGGUGGUGGAGGUGGUGGGGGAGGACUGGUGGAGGUGGUGGGGGAGGACUGGUGGAGGUGGUGGGGGACGACUGGUGGACUGGUGGUGGGGGACGACUGGUGGACUGGUGGUGGGGGACGACUGGUGGACUGGUGGUGGGGGACGACUGGUGGACUGGUGGUGGGGGACGACUGGUGGACUGGUGGUGGGGGACGACUGGUGGACUGGUGGUGGGGGACGACUGGUGGACUGGUGGUGGGGGACGACUGGUGGACUGGUGGUGGGGGACGACUGGUGGACUGGUGGUGGGGGACGACUGGUGGACUGGUGGUGGGGGACGACUGGUGGACUGGUGGUGGGGGACGACUGGUGGACUGGUGGUGGGGGACGACUGGUGGACUGGUGGUGGGGGACGACUGGUGGACUGGUGGUGGGGGACGACUGGUGGACUGGUGGUGGGGGACGACUGGUGGACUGGUGGUGGGGGAGGACUGGUGGACUGGUGGUGGGGGACGACUGGUGGACUGGUGGUGGGGGACGACUGGUGGACUGGUGGUGGGGGACGACUGGUGGACGACUGGUGGACUGGUGGUGGGGGAGGACUGGUGGUGGUGGGGGAGGACUGGUGGACUGGUGGUGGUGGGGGAGGACUGGUGGUGGUGGGGGAGGACUGGUGGACUGGUGGUGGUGGAGGACUGGUGGUGGUGGUGGAGGACUGGUGGUGGUGGUGGAGGACUGGUGGUGGUGGUGGAGGACUGGUGGUGGUGGUGGAGGACUGGUGGUGGUGGUGGAGGACUGGUGGUGGUGGUGGAGGACUGGUGGAGGUGGUGGGGGAGGACUGGUGGAGGUGGUGGGGGACGACUGGUGGACUGGUGGUGGGGGACGACUGGUGGACUGGUGGUGGGGGACGACUGGUGGACUGGUGGUGGGGGACGACUGGUGGACUGGUGGUGGGGGACGACUGGUGGACUGGUGGUGGGGGACGACUGGUGGACUGGUGGUGGGGGACGACUGGUGGACUGGUGGUGGGGGACGACUGGUGGACUGGUGGUGGGGGACGACUGGUGGACUGGUGGUGGGGGACGACUGGUGGACUGGUGGUGGGGGACGACUGGUGGACUGGUGGUGGGGGACGACUGGUGGACUGGUGGUGGGGGACGACUGGUGGUGGGGGACGACUGGUGGACUGGUGGUGGGGGACGACUGGUGGUGGGGGACGACUGGUGGUGGGGGAGGACUGGUGGACUGGUGGUGGGGGAGGACUGGUGGACUGGUGGUGGGGGAGGACUGGUGGACUGGUGGUGGGGGACGACUGGUGGACUGGUGGUGGGGGACGACUGGUGGACUGGUGGUGGGGGACGACUGGUGGACUGGUGGUGGGGGACGACUGGUGGACUGGUGGUGGGGGACGACUGGUGGACUGGUGGUGGGGGACGACUGGUGGACUGGUGGUGGGGGACGACUGGUGGACUGGUGGUGGGGGACGACUGGUGGACUGGUGGUGGGGGAGGACUGGUGGACUGGUGGUGGGGGAGGACUGGUGGACUGGUGGUGGGGGAGGACUGGUGGUGGUGGGGGAGGACUGGUGGACUGGUGGUGGGGAGGACUGGUGGACUGGUGGUGGGGGACUGAUGGUGGUGGUGGUGGACUGGUGGAGGUGGAGGACUGGUGGAGGUGGUGGUGGAGGACUGGUGGUGGUGGACUGGUGGUGGUGGACUGGUGGUGGUGGACUGGUGGUGGUGGACUGGUGGUGGUGGACUGGUGGUGGUGGACUGGUGGUGGUGGACUGGUGGUGGUGGACUGGUGGUGGUGGAGGACUGGUGGAGGUGGAGGACUGGUGGAGGUGGAGGACUGGUGGAGGUGGAGGACUGGUGGAGGUGGUGGUGGAGGACUGGUGGAGGACUGGUGGAGGUGGUGGAGGAGGACUGGUGGAGGUGGUGGAGGAGGACUGGUGGAGGUGGAGGACUGGUGGAGGAGGACUGGUGGAGGUGGACUGGUGGAGGUGGAGGACUGGUGGAGGAGGACUGGUGGAGGUGGCGGUGGACUGGUGGCGGUGGACUGGUGGCGGUGA
rnacentral:lncRNA from 1 species